rnacentral:rRNA from 1 species
CUCCUACGGGGGGCAGCAGUGGGGGAUAUUGCACAAUGGAGGGAACCCUGAUGCAGCGACGCCGCGUGGGCGAUGGAGUACUUCGGUAUGUAGAGCCCUAUCCGCAGGGAAGAAAAUGACGGUACCUGACUAAGAAGCCCCGGCUAAAUACGUGCCAGCAGCCGCGGUAAUACGUAUGGGGCAAGCGUUAUCCGGAUUUACUGGGUGUAAAGGGAGCGUAGGCGGCCUGGCAAGCCUGAUGUGAAAUACCGGGGCCCAACCCCGGGGCUGCAUUGGGAACUGCCAGGCUGGAGUGCCGGAGAGGG